GGCUGUUCCAGUGGUAGUGGGUUAUCAGAACUUAUUAACAUUAGUGUCACUAAAGCUGGCACACAAUCCCACUGCUAAAUUUGACUGGCUUUAA
rnacentral:Y_RNA from 1 species